rnacentral:snoRNA from 1 species
UAAAUCUAUUUGACAGACUGGACGCAGUUACUGUCUGCUUCUAAGGUUUCCAUUACAGAUGCAAGAAAGUUUCCUCACACUUUCCAUCUGAUUGUGGCAGCCAAGAUUGAAUAGAGGAACACAGAG